CAGCAGCCGCGGGAACACGAAGGGGGCUAGCGUUGUUCGGAUUUACUGGGCGUAAAGGGCGCGUAGGCGGACUGAUAAGUCAGGGGUGAAAUCCCAAGGCUCAACCUUGGAACUGCCUUUGAUACUGUUUGUCUUGAGUUCGAGAGAGGUAAGUGGAACUGCGAGUGUAGAGGUGAAAUUCGUAGAUAUUCGCAAGAACACCAGUGGCGGAGGCGGCUUACUGGCUCGAAACUGACGCUGAGGCGCGAAAGCGUGGGGAGCAAACAGGAUUAGAUACCCCAGUAGUCCCUGUCUCUUAUAC
rnacentral:rRNA from 1 species